GCCAUGGAGGAUUGCAGUCAGAAGGAUCUCAGGCUUUGGCCACACCUGGAUGCUACCCCUAGGUGAAUGUUCCGGUUCGCGGCGUGGCUGGGAUUCCUGAGCCUGCUGUGUCUUCGGGUAGACCCUUGAGUCAUCAGAUUCUCCCCAGCUAACAAGGGCCAGCUGCACAUGAAUCUGACAUUAGUGUCUCCGGUUCCAACCAGCGAGUGGCUCAACAUUUUUCCAAUGCGUGUGUACCCUCUUGGAUGGUGAGGGAAGUCAGGUCGAGGGAUAUAAGAAAUGCUCCCAUCACUCAAGGCAGUCCUAACCUCACUGGGAAAACAAGAUUCACACUGAGCAUGCAAACAAGCACAGCUGAUGGUUAAAUGAUGCAGGCCCGACUCACAGUGCUUGAGGGUUCCAGGGAAAGGAGCACAAUAGACAGCUCUCCGGUUACAGGGCAGCCAUGCAUUUGGACAGAGCCAAACCAUCAAAUGUUUAAAAAGGACAGAGUGGAAGACACCUGCCAGCACCCCCAUAUGCAUCAGUGAGUCCCUGGACAGCACUUCCAGAAACAGAUAAGGAGCCUUUGAAUUCCAAAGAACUCUUGAAGUAAAGAUCGGAUUUCACAGAGAGAAAAAGGUCUGGUGUCCAGUUGGCCAGUGGCCCAAUUUGAAGGAGGAAGGAGGAGUAUGGCUUCUCCCCAUUUGUUUCCAGCACCUGAGGACAUUAAAUGGGUGCAGUUGGCCACCUGCUUAGGUAGGUGGGCUUCAGGUUCCUCCGCAGAGGUCCCUGUCUCUAUCUUGGCUUGAAAGGAAGACAGGCGGUUAUCUCUGAUUGGACCCUGUGGACCUAGGACAGAGUGCCCAAGAGUAGCAGCCAUGAUAGACCAUGGACCCGAGGGUUCGUCUGUUCUGCUGGACACUGAGCCCCCAGGGUGGGAGAGCCUGUCACAAGAGUGAGGAAAGACAGUCCUCCAAACUCCCUAGACUGGAUUUCCUGCCAACCACUAUAAUGGAAGCUGAACUAGACUGGCUUACCUUUAGAAAUAUAAAGAAAUUGACAUUUGUUGCACGUGAAUGCAUCUUGCUUGUAUAUUAGAUUAUUUGAGGGAGUGUAAUAGGCAGAAUGCCCUGCCUUGCUCAAAAGAUGUUUAUUCCUUAAUCUCCAGAAUCCAGGAAUAGUAAAUGUGUUCAACGUCAAGCACAGACCCUGCAGAUGUAACUACUGGUUCAUACCUUGGGAUGGGGAGACUAUCCAGGUGGGAUCAAUCUAAUCACAUGAACCCUUGAAAGCAGACAACUUUCUCCAGCUGGACACAGAACAGAUGCAGCAGAAGUCAGAAAGCUUCAAAGAAGGGAGGGACUUGAUAUGUUAUUCCUGGUAUGAAGGUGAAUGGACAAGAAAUGGAGGUGGCUUUAAUAAACAGAGAGGGGCUCCUGGCUGACAGCCAAUGGUGAAAUGGGGAUCCCGGCCCUACAGCCACAAAGAACUGAAUUCUACCAAUAAUGCAAACAAGCUAGAAGCAGAUUCUCUCCUGGAGCCCCCAGAUAGGAGUGCAGGCCAGCGACACAGGGGAACCAGGAGAGUCCCCUGGGACUUCUGACCUACUGAACCGUGAGACGAUAAAUUCAUGUUGUUUUAAGUCACUAAGCUUACAGCAGAGAUAGAAAACCAAUACAGAGAGAGAAAUUGACCAAGCUUUACAACUACUACACAGAGCGUGAAGAGAGAGGGAGCCCUCCUAAGAGUGUGUGUGAUAAUACGGAAAAUAACCCUUGAGUGGACACUGAGCAGCAGAGAGCUUUCCAAAGAGUACCCAGGCAGGUUUUCCUGGAGGAAGCAAGGGGACAGCGGGCUCUUAAGUCCCUGGUUGGACGAUCAGACUCUGAUGGAGAGGAGAGGAGUGGAUGAAUGAAUACAGGUGCAAACACGGAAAUAAAGUGCAGAG
rnacentral:lncRNA from 1 species